UCCGGUUGAUCCUGCCGGAGGCCACCGCUAUUGGAAUUCGAUUAAGCCAUGCGAGUCGAGAGGGUUCGGCCCUCGGCAUACGGCUCAGUAACACGCGAACAAUCUACCCUGAGGAGGAGGAUAACCCCUGGGAAACUGGGAACAAUACUCCAUAGGUCAUGUAUGCUGGAAUGCUUCAUGAUUCAAAUGCUCCGGCGCCUCAGGAUGAGUUUGUGGCCUAUCAGGUUGUAGUGGGUGUAAAGGACCCACUAGCCGUCGACGGGUACGGGCUGUGAGAGCAGUUGCCCGGAGAUGGAUUCUGAGACACGAAUCCAGGCCCUACGGGGCGCAGCAGGCGCGAAAACUUCGCAAUGUGGGAAACCACGACGAGGGAAUUCCAAGUGCCAGGGCAAAGCUCUGGCUGUUCAAAUACCUAAAAAGUAUCUGAAGUAAGAGCUGGGUAAGACGGGUGCCAGCCGCCGCGGUAAUACCCGCAGCUCGAGUGGUGGUCGCUAUUAUUGAGCCUAAAGCGUCCGUAGCCGGUCUGGUAAAUCCUUGGGGAAAUCGAGCAGCUUAACUGUUCGAAGACCGGGGAGACUGCCAGACUUGGGACCGGGGGAGGUCAGAGGUACUCCGGGAGUAGGGGUGAAAUCCUAUGAUCCUCGGGGGACCACCAGUGGCGAAGGCGUCUGACUAAAACGGAUCCGACGGUAAGGGACGAAACCCUGGGGCGCGAACGGGAUUAGAUACCCCGGUAGUCCAGGGCGCAAACGCUGCAGGCUUGGUGUUGGGGAUCCCACGAGGAUGCCCAGUGCCGGAGUGAAGAUGUUAAGCCUGCCGCUUGGGGAGUACGGUCGCAAGACUGAAACUUAAAGGAAUUGGCGGGGGAGCACAGCAACGGGUGGAGCGUGCGGUUUAAUUGGAUUCAACGCCGUAAAACUCACCGGGAGCGACUGUUACAUGAAGGCCAGGCUGAUGACCUUGCCUGAUUUUCAGAGAGGUGGUGCAUGGCCGUCGUCAGUUCGUACCGUAAGGCGUUCUGUUAAGUCAGAUAACGAACGAGACCCUCGCCCCUAUUUGCUACUUAUCCCUCCGGGGAUGAGGCACUAUAGGGGGACCGCUGCUGCUAAAGCAGAGGAAGGGGAGGUCAACGGUAGGUCAGUAUGCCCCGAAUCUUCCGGGCAACACGCGCGCUACAAAGGACGGGACAAUGAGAUCCGACCCCGAAAGGGGCAGGUAACCUCCAAACCCGUUCGUAGUUCGGAUUGUGGGCUGUAACCCGCCCUCAUGAAGCUGGAAUCCGUAGUAAUCGCGGGUCAACAUCCCGCGGUGAAUGUGCCCCUGCUCCUUGCACACACCGCCCGUCAAACCACCCGAGUUGGGUCUGAAUGAGGGCUCCUCGUCUUGGGGAGUUCGAAUUUAGGUUCAGCAAGGAGGGUUAAGUCGUAACAAGGUA
rnacentral:rRNA from 1 species